rnacentral:tRNA from 1 species
GCACUUAUAGCUCAGUUGGUUAGAGCACCCGUUUAGUAUGAGCCUCAGAGCCCAGCACAAGCAGCGGGAGGUCUCCAGUUCGAAUCUGGAUAAGUGCA